GAUGAACGCUAGCUACAGGCUUAACACAUGCAAGUCGCGGGGCAGCAUGUUGGUUGCUUGCAACCGAUGAUGGCGACCGGCGCACGGGUGAGUAACGCGUAUCCAACCUACCUAUUACCACGGGAUAACCCGGCGAAAGUCGGACUAAUACCGUAUGUAGUCCUCCAAUGGCAUCAGCAGUGGACUAAAGGUUUGGCGGUAAUGGAUGGGGAUGCGUCCGAUUAGCUAGUUGGUGAGGUAAUGGCUCACCAAGGCUUCGAUCGGUAGGGGUUCUGAGAGGAAGGUCCCCCACACUGGAACUGAGACACGGUCCAGACUCCUACGGGAGGCAGCAGUGAGGAAUAUUGGUCAAUGGACGAGAGUCUGAACCAGCCAAGUAGCGUGCAGGAUGACUGCCCUAUGGGUUGUAAACUGCUUUUAUGCGGGGAUAAAGUGGGGAACGUGUUCUCUAUUGCAGGUAC
rnacentral:rRNA from 1 species